UACGGAGGGUGCAAGCGUUGUCCGGAUUUAUUGGGUUUAAAGGGUGCGUAGGCGGCCCGUUAAGUCAGUGGUGAAAGCCCGGAGCUCAACUCCGGAACUGCCAUUGAAACUGUAAAACUUGAGGACGAGAGAGGUGAGUGGAAUUCCCAGUGUAGAGGUGAAAUUCGUAGAUAUUGGGAAGAACACCGGUGGCGAAGGCGGCUCACUGGCUCGUAUCUGACGCUCAGGCGCGACAGCGUGGGGAUCAAACAGG
rnacentral:rRNA from 1 species